rnacentral:tRNA from 1 species
UAAACAGAAGCAAAAUUAUUGCGCUUAGUUGUUACCUAAGAAAUUGCCAAUCGGCCUGUUUAG